rnacentral:rRNA from 1 species
CGACACGGUGACGUGGGCGGAUCCCUGAAAACCGGUCUCAGUUCGGAUCGCAGUCUGCAACUCGACUGCGUGAAGGUGGAGUCGCUAGUAAUCGCGGAUCAGCAACGCCGCGGUGAAUGCGUUCCCGGGCCUUGUACACACCGCCCGUCAAGUCAUGAAAGUGGGCAGCACCCGAAGACGGUGGCCUAACCCUUGUGGGGGGAGCCGUCUAAGGUGAGGCUCGUGAUUGGGACUAAGUCGUAACAAGGUACC